GGUCUUGAGCUGCACUCCUGCUGCAGAGCACACAGUUUCUGUUGCAUUUAGUUACAACACUGUGUGAGCAUCCAAAACUGAUUUGAAGCCUUCUUUGUGACCUUACRAUCCUGAGCUGUCUUUAUGCCCCUGAGUUCUCCAACAUAAGUUUGAGGAGAAGGCCAUUCUCAAGGGAUUGUCACAGCAACUGARGACUGUGCCAGGUUCGAGUGACACUUCAGCAGUGCCCUGUUUCUCCUGGGAGCGAUACGGAAACCUCUCUGACAGCUUUACAGAGAUAUGGAACCCUCACCUCAGAUCAUAGAUGAGGCAGAUACGACUGGAAAGUCCCCGUUGUAGGAUUUUGAACACAAGCAUCACUGCUGGCAAGCUAGCCAGGCUCCACAAACUCCCUAAGGAGAAUCCCUUGUGUAAGGCUGAAAGAGUUUGGAUUUCUCACUGUGAAUAAUAAGGGAGGGGACUGAUUGAAAACUGUCAAUAAGGCUGAAGCUGAACCUUAGCAGAAAUACUCCAGAUGGAAAGCUGAUGUCAUCCCUAUGAAGA